rnacentral:rRNA from 1 species
UACGAAGGGGGCUAGCGUUGCUCGGAAUCACUGGGCGUAAAGGGCGCGUAGGCGGGCUGCCAAGUCUGGGGUGAAAUCCUCCGGCUCAACCGGAGAACGGCCUCGGAUACUGGCGGUCUCGAGGGAGGUAGGGGCGUGCGGAACUAAGGGUGGAGCGGUGAAAUGCGUUGAUAUCCGUAGGAACUCCGGUGGCGAAGGCGGCACGCUGGACCUCUUCUGACGCUGAGGCGCGAAAGCCAGGGGAGCAAACGGG